GUAGGUGAACCUGCGGAAGGAUCAUUAACACGUAUCCACGUAUCAAAAACCCCCUGUGCAAACCCUCUUUGUGAAGGCUGAUUGGAGUUGUGCUCACUCGAUCUUAAUGAUGGGAGUUCCGUUCUCGGGACUCGGGAUCUAUGAGUGGGCAUCGCGUUCGACAACCAGCCGCUAUUUUCCCAUCGUUAGCCCCUUCUAUUAUUUAACCCCUUUGUACUUUUUUGUACUGAACCAAUUCUUCGAGUUUCGGCCUUCUCGGGCUGAGAUACGAAAGAUAUUACGAAACUAAAGAACAACUCUUAGCAACGGAUAUCUUGGUUCCC
rnacentral:misc_RNA from 1 species